UAGAUACCCUGGUAGUCCUAGCAGUAAACGGUGCGCGUUUGGUGUAGGAGGAAUCGACCCCUUCUGUGCCGGAGCUAACGCGUUAAACGCGCCGCCUGGGAAGUACGGUCGCAAGAUUAAAACUCAAAGAAAUUGACGGGGGCCCGCACAAGCGGUGGAGUAUGUGGCUUAAUUCGAUGCAACGCGAAGAACCUUACCUGGGCUUGACAUGCAUCUCUAAGUCGGUGAAAGCCGGCGAGUGGAGCAAUCC
rnacentral:rRNA from 1 species